AUUGAACGCUGGCGGCAUGCCUUACACAUGCAAGUCGAACGGUAACAGGUCUUCGGAUGCUGACGAGUGGCGAACGGGUGAGUAAUACAUCGGAACGUGCCUAGUAGUGGGGGAUAACUACUCGAAAGAGUGGCUAAUACAGCAUGAGAUCUACGGAUGAAAGCAGGGGAUCGCAAGACCUUGUGCUACUAGAGCGGCCGAUGGAAGAUUAGGUAGUUGGUGGGAUAAAAGCUUACCAAGCCGACGAUCUGUAGCUGGUCUGAGAGGACGAUCAGCAACACUGGGACUGAGACACGGCCCAGACUCCUACGGGAGGCAGCAGUGGGGAUUUUUGGACAAUGGGCGCAAGCCUGAUCCAGCAAUGCCGCGUGCAGGAUGAAGGCCUUCGGGUUGUAAACUGCUUUUGUACGGAACGAAAAGCCCUGGGUUAAUACCCUGGGGUCAUGACGGUACCGUGAGAAUAAGCACCGGCUAACUACGUGCCAGCCGCCGCCGUAA
rnacentral:rRNA from 1 species